GCUGUUUCCCCCGCCUGCAGUCACGGCAUCCCCGCAGUGCUCCAGCCUCCCCAGCUCCCACGCUCACUAGGGCCGGGUGCCGUGAGCUGUGUGUCUGGUCCCCUACCUGCUCGGGCUGCUCCAGCCUCUCCUGCAUCGUGGACCGGGCGCCAUGCGGCCGCGAACUGUGGGUCCCUUCCCCUACCUGCUCCAACUGCUCCAGCCUCUCCAGCAUCGCGGGCCGGGCGCAAAGCGGCCGUGAGUACUCACUCUAGGACUUCCCGAGAUCAUCUUCCCCAGACUCCUCACCCAUUCAGGGGCAGCACAACCUCCGUACACUGCAUCUGUCCAGGCCACUGGGAGGGUGAAUAGGC